rnacentral:misc_RNA from 1 species
AACACUGUUAACCUGCGGUACCUGCGGAGGGAUCAUUAAUGAGUGUAAUCUACCCCUUAAAAAAGGGUGAUACCUCCCCGUCCUUUGCAGGCCCUCCCCCCAUUUUUUUUUGGGGGGGUGGGGCUUUUAUAAGACUUUCUGCUUCGGCGGGGUUAUUCCCGCCGGAACACCCUCAAAAAUCUCUCAAAAAAAUCGUUCAGUCCGAGAAAAUUGAAAAUAUAAAAAAAACUUUCAGCAAUG